rnacentral:rRNA from 1 species
GGAAUUUUCCGCAAUGGGCGAAAGUCUGACGGAGUGACGCUGCGUGAAGGAUGACGGCCCGCGGGUUGUAAACUUCUUUUCUCGAAGAAGAAUCAAUGACGGUAUUCGAGGAAUAAGCAUCGGCUAACUCCGUGCCAGCAGCCGCGGCAAGACGGAGGAUGCAAGUGUUAUUCGGAAUGAUUGGGCGCAAAGCGUCCGCAGGCGGCCUUGUAAGUCUGUUGUUAAAGCGUGGAGCUUAACUCCAUUUAAGCAAUGGAAACUGCAAGGCUUGAGUGUGGUAGGGGCAGAGGGAAUUCCCGGUGUAGCGGUGAAAUGCGUAGAUAUCGGGAAGAACACCAGUGGCGAAGGCGCUCUGCUGGGCCAUAACUGACGCUCAUGGACGAAAGCCAGGGGAGCGAAAGGGAUUAGAUACCCCUGUAGUC